GGAGUUAGCCGGUGCUUCUUCUGUGAGUGAUGUCCUUCCUGCCGGCUAUUAACCCGCAGGCCUUCUUCCUCACUGAAAGUGCUUUACAACCCGAAGGCCUUCUUCACACACGCGGCAUGGCUGGAUCAGGGUUGCCCCCAUUGUCCAAUAUUCCCCACUGCUGCCUCCCGUAGGAGUCUGGGCCGUGUCUCAGUCCCAGUGUGGCUGAUCAUCCUCUCAGACCAGCUACGGAUCGUCGCCUUGGUGAGCCGUUACCUCACCAACCAGCUAAUCCGACAUAGGCUCAUCCGAUAGCGCGAGGCCCGAAGGUCCCCCGCUUUCCCCCGUAGGGCGUAUGCGGUAUUAGCCUGGGUUUCCCCAGGUUAUCCCCCACUACCGGGCAGAUUCCUAUGCAUUACUCACCCGUCCGCCGCUCGCCACCAGGGAGCAAGCUCCCCGUGCUGCCGCUCGACUUGCAUGUGUAGCUCGCCGCCACGCGUCAUCUGAGCAGANACACACUCACAGAGCGGCGUCGCGACGACGCGCA
rnacentral:rRNA from 1 species